rnacentral:rRNA from 1 species
AUAUUGGACAAUGGGCGCAAGCCUGAUCCAGCAAUGCCGCGUGAGUGAUGAAGGCCUUCGGGUUGUAAAGCUCUUUCACCCACGACGAUGAUGACGGUAGUGGGAGAAGAAGCCCCGGCUAACUUCGUGCCAGCAGCCGCGGUAAUACGAAGGGGGCUAGCGUUGUUCUGAAUGACUGGGCGUAAAGGGCGCGUAGGCGGCGCACCAAGUCGGGCGUGAAAGCCCCGGGCUCAACCUGGGAACUGCGUUCGAGACUGGUGUGCUAGAGUUCGGGAGAGGAGAGUGGAAUUCCCAGUGUAGAGGUGAAAUUCGUAGAUAUUGGGAAGAACACCAAUGGCGAAGGCAGCUCUCUGGACCGACACUGACGCUGAGGCGCGAAAGCGUGGGGAGCAAACAGG